rnacentral:lncRNA from 1 species
GACAAGGCCAUACAACUUUUACGUACAUGAUAUUUGUGUACAAGCCUCUAAGAUUACACAUCUAAAUCAUACUAACCAAACAAGAAACUCGAAGCAAAUAGAGCACACCAACAUCUUCCGCUGAGCUAAUAUCCUACUUGGAGGGAUCUCGACCUGUUUAUCGGAACCUGCGAGCAUGAAACGCAGCGUCCCCAGGCAAAAAAGACGUCAGUACAAAUAAUUACCCAGUAUGUAAGGAAUGGAAAUCAGUAAAUAAUAGACAUGAGAGAGACAUGGAGUAAAAGACUCAAUAUGUACGUUUGCAUAGCUCUGUAAAUCAUUUUAUUUUUAUAAUGUCAUGCAUAUGCAUAUAAAUAUCAUAUCGUGCAUGGGUAUAUGUGUUCAUAACAUCAUCAAGCCUCUGAAAGCAUCGCAUCAUAUCAUCUUGAUUACUAUGGGCAAAUCAUUAACGUAUACUAACUGAUUAGGUGAUGUGCGUAUAGAAUGUCGUAACCUUUUUCCAUAUUCCAUAUACAUACAAUAUACAUCUAUACACAUAUAUUAUUCCAUCUGGUAACAAGUCAAUGUACAUAUAUGCAAUUCAUGAUAAGUACGUUACUAAAAUCUCUUGGACUGUCAUAAGACCAUUAUGCAUUUGAAUAAUAUCAUGAAGUAAACUUUUUCAACUUACAUAUUUUUCUGAGACCCAUGAACAAACAAUAAAAUAAUAUGACAUAUGGAGAAUCAUGGACAUAAGCAUAUCUAAUAUUUCUAUGAAUAGCGUCAUUUAUGAAAGUUGUGUAUUUGCACGUUUCGUUUGCAUCGUAUAAAUCAUGUCAAAAGAAAGAAGGAAUAGCCUUAACAUACCUGAAUCGAUUCUCUUUUGCGAAAACACGUAAUGGCGGAUUGAAAUAGAAAAAAAU